ACCAAACACCGGUAAUUCAUACCGAGUCCCUCACAGCACAACUAAAAUGCACGAAUACCCCUCCACGUGCGAUCUCACGCGAAACUGUACAUAAAAUAUCGCGACUUUUGCGAAAAUACCAUUUUGCUAACACCGACCUCUCCUCGAUCAACGCGCGAUCUCCGCAGAUCCGUCAGUCAGAUUCGCGAACGGAUUGCACCAGUGCGAUCAGCACGACGGAGACAACAAAGCUGCGAUUUCGUUUCGUCUUGAUCGACCACGGAUUCACGACAAAAUCCAACCUUCUUUGAAUAGAAGGAAACACACACAUAAAUACAUAUAAAACAUGUAUUUUUGGAUUUUCUCGAAAUCCGUGCGUCAAACUCAAAAUCCGUCAGCGUCAUUGGUUCCAGAACAGCUGACCCGGUCGAAACGAGCUAUUGGACUGCUAUGAACAGAGUCCGGUACGAGCCAAAAGCCAACUUCCCACCGUGGCUUCUCCGGAAAAUCGAGUUACUAUUCACUUUAAGUGAAACUUGGAAAGCGCGUAGAAUUUCCGUUUUAACUCGUUUUCGCCCGAAACUUGACGAGUCCUUUUGUAAUUAAAUUACACACAAAAACAUCGUCAACUGAGAGUUUAGCUACACUGCAAAAAUCUCAGUCCUUACAUGCUCAGUCAGCACGGAUGUAUCAAUAGGUCCCGGCUCGUCAUGAUCAUCCAACUGAAAUUGGCACAAAAAAAAAAACUUAGUUAGA
rnacentral:lncRNA from 1 species